GCUUGCAGAUUGUUUACUGGUGGUUAGAGCGUAGGUCUCGUAAACGAAAGGUUGCGGGAUCGAAUCCCGCUAGAGGCU
rnacentral:tRNA from 1 species